GAUGAACGCUAGCGGCAGGCUUAACACAUGCAAGUCGAGGGGUAACAGGGAAGCUUGCUUCCGCUGACGACCGGCGCACGGGUGCGUAACACGUAUGGAAUCUGCCCUUUACUGGAGAAUAGCCCGAAGAAAUUCGGAUUAAUGCUCCAUAAUAAACGAGAUGGCAUCAUCUUGUUUUGAAAGCUCCGGCGGUAAAGGAUGACCAUGCGCCCGAUUAGUUUGUUGGUGAGGUAACGGCUCACCAAGACUACGAUCGGUAGGGGGCCUGAGAGGGUUAUCCCCCACACUGGUACUGAGACACGGACCAGACUCCUACGGGAGGCAGCAGUGGGGAAUAUUGGGGCAAUGGGCGAAAGCCUUACCCAGCAAUGCCGCGUGUGUGAAGAAGGUCUUCGGAUUGUAAAGCACUAUAUUGGGGAAGAACACAAGUGACGGUACCCAAGAAGAAAAAGCCCCGGCUAACUAUGUG
rnacentral:rRNA from 1 species